rnacentral:rRNA from 1 species
AACGAACGCUGGCGGCAUGCCUAACACAUGCCAGUCGAACGAGACCUUCGGGUCUAGUGGCGCACGGGUGCGUAACGCGUGGGAACCUGCCCUCAGGUUCGGAAUAACUCCCCGAAAGGGGUGCUAAUACCGGAUAAUGUCUUCGGACCAAAGAUUUAUCGCCUUUGGAUGGGCCCGCGUUGGAUUAGCUAGUUGGUAGGGUAAAAGCCUACCAAGGCGACGAUCCAUAGCUGGUCUGAGAGGAUGAUCAGCCACACUGGGACUGAGACACGGCCCAGACUCCUACGGGAGGCAGCAGUGGGGAAUAUUGGACAAUGGGCGAAAGCCUGAUCCAGCAAUGCCGCGUGAGUGAUGAAGGCCUUAGGGUUGUAAAGCUCUUUUACCCGGGAUGAUAAUGACAGUACCGGGAGAAUAAGCGCCGGCUAACUCCGUG